AGCGUGCCAGAAUUUUGGGAACUCGUGCUCUCCAGAUCAGCAUGAAUGCUCCUGUAAUGGUCGAGUUGGAGGGUGAGACAGACCCACUUGAGAUUGCUAUGAAGGAACUCUGAGAGCAGAAAAUACCACUCCCCAGUCCUCAUAACUUCCAUCAGGGAGGUAGCGAUGGAUGGUGAAAGGUCUGAUUGUGGAAGACUCAUGGAAGAGGCAUGAUUGAUCAGCUGGCAUUUUAUCAUUGCAAUUUGUCCUUUACUCAGUGCAAGAUGGCUUCUAAAUGCGUUAUAUGAUGUAUGGCCUUAACUUCAAAACUUGUCCUGUUAAACACCAUCAUUUAAUCAUCCACAAGCUUCCAGUUAUCUGCAACUUUCUGCUAAUCCCCUGGAACAUGAAGUCCAUUACAACUACAAAUGUAUUUUGCCAUGGUGAAUACUGGCUGAACUCAAGAUCAUUAAGACUACAUACUUUGUAUUGUUUGGAUUACUUUUGUGC
rnacentral:misc_RNA from 1 species